CAAGCUGUCAAUGGUGGUGGGAUUGUGCACCAAAGGUAUCAACCCCAUGUGGGGCUGCAUUAGCAAGAGUGGUGGUGGUGGUGGGGUUGCUCCCCUCCAUCAGCACAUGUGAGGACAUAUCUGUGUACAGGGGCCAGUUUGAGCCUUCCCAGUACAAGGCAGACAGGGUCAGGCCACCAAACUGAGGCCCAGGAUAGGUGGAGAGAGACUGGGAAUAUCCAGCCUGGAAAAGAAAAGGAUGGAAUCGCUGUCUGAAGCUGCUCAAAAGGGUUAGAGAGAGGACAGAGCCAAACCACAUCUCUCCAUGCCUCUCAUUAUACCUUUUUAAUUGUUUAAUUACCCAUUUAGGCUGCUUAAACAGACCUCCUGGGCCCAUAGUCAUCCUUGCCCUGCUUUUUUCGGCUUUCCUAGGCAUCUACUAUUGAGAAACAGGGCAAGGACUUGACGGACCUUCACCUGAACCCCUGUGUCUGUUGUAUAUUCUCAAGGAAAAAGUCCAUUCUCCUGCUUGACUAAAAUGCAGUACAUCAGGGAUCAUGUGGAAGCACCACCAAAAGGAGCGGUCCCGAGAGGGCUCCACGCCUCCCCACCAAGAAGCACAGUGGCAUUUUCCUUUCCAGACCUGCACACAAAUUUCUCCAUAGCCUCCUUGACAACUGCAGUUUGUGAAAUCACAGAAUUUCUUUUCCAGCUAAGGGGAAACAUCAAGUGACUGUGAGGAUGUUUCCCUCUUGUACCUGGAAGGAAAGAGGGGAUGUAUUUACACGUAGUUGUAGUUUGCUCCUCUGUGUUUUAUCAGCAGUCGGGAUUCGUGGAGGGAAGAUGAUGGCUCAGCACUGUAUCGUGCAUCUUAGCAAACUAUACAAUGUGAUCACACAUCACCCUUGCAGAUGUUCACUGAUCUGCUUCAGCUGUGAAAGGAUGAGGUUGAGGUGGUUGUGUCAGGGUCCUAAUGGCAAUUAACAACCCUAUGCAGAUCCACUUGGGACCCCCCACCCCCACCCAUGGUCCAGGGGCUCUAUUUAAGUUCAGCCCUGGAGCAUCCAUGCAUGGCUAUGGUUGCUGCUGAUCCACAUGAGAUUGAAAUGCCUCUUGCUCUUAUUUCAGAAGCUGCAGCUGGGUCUGAACUUGUUCCUGAGAAGAAAGAACUGAGUCCUUUGUUUAAUGAUAUUGCUGUCUGCCAUCAGAUCCGGCUCAUUACUAUUGCAACGCCAAUGAUGCUUCCUGAUGCACAGCUGGCUCAAAACUCAUCCUGGGUCUUUCUAGCUUCUCUGUUGCAGGAAGAAAGAGAUUUCAGGUUGGUCUGAGCUGCCCAUAGUGGCAUUAUUGCUGGAAAGUACCUUGUGAGGUGUGAAGCCAGGAGAUAAAAAUAGCUCAAUGCCAAAUUAGAGCAAUGCAAGCAGGCCAGCUGAAGAGUUUUCACAUCUAACACCAGCCAGUCCGCAGCAGCAGGAGACAGAUAGGUCUGGCACUGGCAUCUGCUGCUGAUGUAAGGAAGUUUCAGUCACUGGAGGAUGGCAUUUUGCUGCUGGGAAGUAGCAGUUAGACAGCUGGGAAGGAGGAGAAUUGGAGAUGCCCAUCCCAUAUUUACCCUUUCCUGAAGGCACCGGGAUUUUUCAGUCUCCAGAGCCUGUCUCUCAGAUCAGUGGAGACCUGUGGAUUUGAUGACUUGACAGCAGCCAGAACAGGAGUUUCACACUCUACUAGCACCUAAGAGAGGUUGUGCUGCAGCUGGGGUGGGAGACAACAACUGGCUGAAAAUGAUUCUGAGAUAUCAGAAGUGACAGGACCUGGCUAGGACUUGGGAAGGACCUGGGCACCCUUCAGGACAGCAUCUGUAGAGGUGUUUGGGAGGACUCAACAUCUCCCGGGUGACCCUAAACAUUCAAAUGUACAAUUCACUGCAGGGCAGGGCCUUCCUGGCUGUCAGAAGAAAUUUCUGCUGCUCCUGACCCCUGGGACAUCAGCUUUGCCCUUUGGGUAAGGUGGGACAUCAGACUAACAUCCCGCAGAGACUGCUAUGGAUCAAAAAUGCUCACACUUCCCUGAAGACUCUUGGUGCCUCCAGAACCUUGCAAGUAACUAAACCAGGAACCAAAGUCAGCUUCUUCAGCCCCACAGGAACAUCAUUACUGAAUGUCAACAGGCAACACCAUUGAACGUCAGGAGUCCCAAAAAAAUGGUGUGGUUUCCUGGAUCAAACCAAAGGCUUGUCCAGAGCAUGUGAUGUCCAUCUUGCUGCCCAUGCUGUCUUAGGGAGCCAGCUGGAUGCUGGACUCCCAAACCCAGAAGAAAGGCAG